rnacentral:rRNA from 1 species
AAGUUUCGGCGGUACAGGAUGGGCAUGCGUGGCAUUAGCUAGUUGGUAAGGUAACGGCUUACCAAGGCGACGAUGCCUAGGGGUUCUGAGAGGAUGAUCCCCCACACUGGGACUGAGACACGGCCCAGACUCCUACGGGAGGCAGCAGUGAGGAAUAUUGGUCAAUGGGCGAGAGCCUGAACCAGCCAUCCCGCGUGCAGGAUGACGGCCCUACGGGUUGUAAACUGCUUUUAUGUACCAAGAAUAGGCGCUACGUGUAGUGUUAUGACGGUAGUACAUGAAUAAGCAUCGGCUAACUCCGUGCCAGCAGCCGCGGUAAUACGGAGGAUGCAAGCGUUAUCCGGAUUCAUUGGGUUUAAAGGGUGCGUAGGCGGUCUGAUAAGUCAGUGGUGAAAUGCUGCAGCUCAACUGUAGAACUGCCAUUGAAACUGUCAGACUUGAGUGCGCCUGAGGUAGGCGGAAUGAGUAGUGUAGCGGUGAAAUGCUUAGAUAUUACUCAGAACACCGAUUGCGAAGGCAGCUUACUAAAGCGUAACUGACGCUGAUGCACGAAAGCGUGGGGAGCGAACAGGAUUAGAUACCCUGGUAGUCCACGCCGUAAACGAUGAUAACUCGCUGUUGGCGAUACACAGUCAGCGGCUUAGCGAAAGCAUUAAGUUAUCCACCUGGGGAGUACGAUCGCAAGGUUGAAACUCAAAGGAAUUGACGGGGGCCCGCACAAGCGGAGGAACAUGUGGUUUAAUUCGAUGAUACGCGAGGAACCUUACCUGGGCUUAAAUGUGGAUUGACCGUUGCUGAAAAGUGACUUCCCUUCGGGGCAAUUUACAAGGUGCUGCAUGGUUGUCGUCAGCUCGUGCCGUGAGGUGUCGGGUUAAGUCCCAUAACGAGCGCAACCCUUAUCGUCAGUUGCUAACAGGUAAAGCUGAGGACUCUGGCGAGACUGCCACCGUAAGGUGAGAGGAAGGUGGGGAUGACGUCAAAUCAGCACGGCCCUUAUGUCCAGGGCUACACACGUGUUACAAUGGUCGGUACAAAGGGCAGCUACUUGGCAACAAGAUGCUAAUCCCAAAAGCCGGUCUCAGUUCGGAUUGGAGUCUGCAACCCGACUCCAUGAAGCUGGAUUCGCUAGUAAUCGCGC